rnacentral:rRNA from 1 species
GACAGAGGUGGCGAGCGUUGUUCGGAUUCAUUGGGCGUAAAGAGCGCGUAGGCGGUCCUCUAAGUCGGUGGUGAAAUCCCGGGGCUUAACCCCGGAAUUGCCCUCGAUACUGGAGGACUUGAGUGCGGGAGAGGGUAGUGGAAUUCCCAGUGUAGAGGUGAAAUUCGUAGAUAUUGGGAAGAACACCAGUGGCGAAGGCAGCUACCUGGACCGCAACUGACGCUGAGGCGCGAAAGCGUGGGGAGCAAACAGG